GCAGAGUAGAAGCCCGUGCGUUAAGUGCUGUCCGAACGGGGAGUUGUCGGAUGGACGAAAAGGAAACUUGCGGUACGUGCUUCGCAUCCCGCUGC
rnacentral:ncRNA from 1 species